CUUAAAUAGCUUAAAGUUAGAGUAUGUUAUUGAAGAUAACAAGGUAACAGAAUGUUUUUAAGUGU
rnacentral:tRNA from 1 species